AGCGGCGGACGGGUGAGUAACGCGUGGGUAACCUGCCCUAUACACACGGAUAACAUACCGAAAGGUAUGCUAAUAUGAGAUAAUAUAAGAGAUUCACAUGGAUUUCUUAUCAAAGCUGAGGCGGUAUAGGAUGGACCCGCGUCUGAUUAGCUAGUUGGUAAGGUAACGGCUUACCAAGGCGACGAUCAGUAGCCGACCUGAGAAGGUGAUCGGCCACAUUGGAACUGAGACACGGUCCAAACUCCUACGGGAGGCAGCAGUGGGGAAUAUUGCACAAUGGGCGAAAGCCUGAUGCAGCAACGCCGCGUGAGUGAUGUAGGCCUUCGGGUCGUAAAACUCUGUCCUCAAGGAAGAUAAUGACGGUACUUGAGGAGGAAGCCCCGGCUAACUACGUGCCAGCAGCCGCGGUAAUACGUAGGGGGCUAGCGUUAUCCGGAUUUACUGGGCGUAAAGGGUGCGUAGGUGGUCUCUUAAGUCAGGAGUGAAAGGCUACGGCUUAACCGUAGUAGGCUCUUGAAACUGGGAGACUUGAGUGCAGGAGAGGAAAGUGGAAUUCCUAGUGUAGCGGUGAAAUGCGUAGAUAUUAGGAGGAACACCAGUAGCGAAGGCGGCUUUCUGGACUGUAACUGACACUGAGGCACGAAAGCGUGGGGAGCAAACAGGAUUAGAUACCCUGGUAGUCCACGCCGUAAACGAUGAGUACUAGGUGU
rnacentral:rRNA from 1 species